UUCCAUUAGAAAAGAUUUCCUAUCAUUGUCAAGGGAGUUCCCUGAUGACAUAUGUUCGGUGUUUCCCUGGCUAUCUGGGGCAGGGGUCAACCAGCAGAGCUCAAGCACUGGGAUCCUGAUCUGAAGCCCGAUGCCAACAGUGGAAAGACACCCAUUCACAGCAAUGGCCUUUGGAUCAGGCCUGCUGCACGCUGUUAUGGCUUAUAUGGAAGACAUUAAACAGGAGAUGAAGGAUGGUGUCGUGGGUAGGGCCCAUGCCAAGGACUCAACACCUGGGUUCAGUUCCUGGUUCUACUGCUGACUUGUUAUGUGACCUUAGAAAGUCGCUUCAAUUCUCCCCCAUAAAAUAUGGGUAACAAUACUUCUGUUCUUCUACCUAAAUCUCUUCAAGAUACAGACUAACAUGGCUGCUACUCUGAAACCUGUGAUGAGAGAAGGUCACCUAAGUAACUAGCAAGAUAUUGUAACCUCCUCUUCGACUUUCACAUCUUCCCAGUUAAGUCUACUCAACAUUCAGCAGC